ACUUGGAGGCUGAUUGCUUUGGUCCAGAAGGUUUACAGUGACUGCCCUGACAUUAAUUGUGUUCAGCUGUGGUAGAUAACCACAGCCUUGCAAUGGCCCGCUGUAGGAACUGCUAACUAAUGUUCUUGGGGGUGAUGGGGCACUAGCCUAAGGGAGACACUCCAGCAGUAGCAGAGAGGGGGGCCAGAUGGGCUGCACCUAUGCAAUUUCUUAUUUCUAUAGGGGGAAUGUGAUUAUUCCUUCUGCUAGUGUGGACCUAGCCCCUUGUACUGUGCGGUCAGAAAAUGUGUUUCAAUUACCAGCUCACCUAAAUCAUGCCAUGAGACUAAAGCAGGUCAUUAGUUAAUUUGCAAGGUGUUUGACAUUAGCCAGAAGUGAACAAGAGGACAAAUAAUGCCUAAUAACGUGCAGCUCAGAAACUUCACAAAGGAAAUAAACUAAGCACAGAUUUGGUCCUUAAACAAGGAACAAGAAGUAUUAGCGUAAUUCGCCAAAGGGAUCAGGCAGCUUAAGAAGUGGGGGCAGCCCUAAUUGCUGAUGAGGUGCAGGUGGAAAGGAUCAGGCCACUGGGUGUACCCUGCCCCCUCCCCCGCAGUUGAAAGAGCCUAGCUGAGAGAGCAUGAAGGGGAAGGUUGUUGUUGUUGUUAUAGUUAUAGUUAAUAUGGGGGAAGUGGUUGCUUGUUUUGCAUCUAGAAGGGUACUGUUUCUGCUUGUUAAAUUUGAGGGAUUGGGGUUUUUAUGUUCCUCUCUUUUCUGAGAGAGGCUCAGAAUAGGUGGUGUGUUAAGGGGCUUGGAAAAACAUGUGAUUGUGUUUUGACGAGCCCAGUUUGCAGGAGUUGUAGUUCCUAUAUUUUCAAAGCUGUGUGGACUGUGUGAUUACCUGCAGCUGCCAGAGCAUGGACAAAGGAAAGAUCUUGGACCAUCCAAAGACGAAUGGGAACUUGCAGUGGAUCUGCUUGAUGGGCAAUGACUGUUUCUGUAUGGCUGCAUGCGUGGUGGCCUUUCCUUGAGCUAAGCUUCCCGCAAAGGAAUGGUAACCAUCUUGCCUGCCUCUAAGCGUUUGGGAAUAUCGGUUGUCAGUCCUACUUGAAUGAUCACCAUGAGCAGAGGGGCCUGAUUGGGGUUCUGGAUAUGUCUGAGAAGUGAGCCAACUCGUAAAGUAAAUGCAAGUU